UACGAAGGGGGCUAGCGUUGUUCGGAAUUACUGGGCGUAAAGGGCGCGUAGGCGGUGUGUCAAGUCAGGCGUGAAAGCCCCGGGCUCAACCUGGGAACAGCGCUUGAGACUGGCACGCUCGAGUUCGGGAGAGGAUGGUGGAAUUCCCAGUGUAGAGGUGAAAUUCGUAGAUAUUGGGAAGAACACCGAUGGCGAAGGCAGCCAUCUGGACCGACACUGACGGCUGAGGCGCGAAAGCGUGGGGGAGCGAACAGG
rnacentral:rRNA from 1 species